AGAGUUUGAUCCUGGCUCAGAAUCAACGCUGGCGGCGUGCUUAACACAUGCAAGUCGAGCGCGAAAGCGGCUUCGGUCGUUAGUAGAGCGGCGGACGGGUGAGUAACACGUGGGUAACCUACCCUCGGGUGGGGAAUAACUCAGGGAAACCUGGGCUAAUUCCGCAUAAUAUCCAGAGCUCGCAAGGGCAUUGGAUCAAAGCUGGGGACCCUUCGGGGCCUGGCGCCUGAGGAGGGGCCCGCGGCCGAUUAGCUUGUUGGUGAGGUAACGGCUCACCAAGGCUCCGAUCGGUAGCCGGCCUGAGAGGGCUGACGGCCACACUGGGACUGAGACACGGCCCAGACUCCUACGGGAGGCAGCAGUGGGGAAUAUUGGGCAAUGGGCGAAAGCCUGACCCAGCGACGUCGCGUGGGGGAUGAAGGCCUUCGGGUCGUAAACCCUUGUCAUAGGGGAAGAUGGGUAUAUGUGCUAAUACCACAUAUACUUGACGGUACCCUAAAAGAAGCCCCGCUAACU
rnacentral:rRNA from 1 species